AGCGAACGCUGGCGGCAGGCCUAACACAUGCAAGUCGAACGAACCUUUCGGGGUUAGUGGCGGACGGGUGAGUAACACGUGGGAACGUGCCUUUAGGUUCGGAAUAACUCAGGGAAACUUGUGCUAAUACCGAAUGUGCCCUUCGGGGGAAAGAUUUAUCGCCUUUAGAGCGGCCCGCGUCUGAUUAGCUAGUUGGUUGAGGUAAUGGCUCACCAAGGCGACGAUCAGUAGCUGGUCUGAGAGGAUGAUCAGCCACAUUGGGACAGAGACACGGCCCAAACUCCUACGGGAGGCAGCAGUGGGGAAUCUUGCGCAAUGGGCGAAAGCCUGACGCAGCCAUGCCGCGUGAAUGAUGAAGGUCUUAGGAUUGUAAAAUUCUUUCACCGGGGACGAUAAUGACGGUACCCGGAGAAGAAGCCCCGGCUAACUUCGUG
rnacentral:rRNA from 1 species